ACCCGGUAUUCGGCUGAAACAGUGCCAGACUGCCUUAUUUUAUGUGAAGACGAGGCCAUGUUUUGAUGUCUAGGUCAUGUUGUGCAAGACAGCGUUUACUUUAGGUCUCAAAGUGUGUAAAAACACUGGAGGUGUGGUACUGUGAAGGAAGUGAGGAACCAGACUAGAGCCACUACGAGCAGGAUGGUGGUGAUUGUACUGCCUCUUGCCACACCCAACACCAUAGUUAUUUCUCCUAUUGCCAGCCCAGUGGGACAACAGAAAAAGUGGAAGUCUGUUAAAACAGCACAGAGCAAUGGUGGCCAAAUCAGGAAAUAUAUGAAUACCAGACAAUAAUUUGACAGGUGUUGCAGACAAGAAAGUUGGAAUGGAUGAAGUCUAUAGACUCAGAAAUAUGACAGAUGGAAAGAACCCAAGCAGUGUUUACCUUAGGUCUCACAACAUUUUUUGUGACAGUGGCUUGCUCAGGGUUAUCUCAGAAUUGUCCUGAGCUUUUCAGGGAAACUUUGUUCCUGAAGGCAGUCACAGUUCAGCCGUUGAAAAGCUAUAGCCUCUCUCUCAGACAGAAAAAAUUAGAAACAAAAUCUUAUACUAUAUACUCUGGUAAAUACUAUGUUCUGCUCUCCUAUUUACAGGGCACUGAAGCUUUUUAAGAAUUUUCAGAUAAAAGCAAUUAAAUCCUUGUAGCACUUAACUUUA